rnacentral:misc_RNA from 1 species
AUGGAUCACGAUGUGAGGUCUAAAGUGUGAUACAUGUCUACGCUAUAGAUUUUUGCAAUAGUUACCGCUCUGUCAAAGGAGUAGUGUUCUUUACUGAACCGUGUGAUGAGUGAAUACAAAGCUUCUAACCGUCCUUCCGGGACAAUAUUCAUUUUUUGACAUCUGACCUCAAAUCAGGUAGGACUACCCGCUGAACUUAA